GGAGAGAUGGCUCAGUGGUUAAGAGCACUGACUGCUCUUCCAGAGGUCUUGAGUUCAAAUCUCAGCAACCACA
rnacentral:tRNA from 1 species